rnacentral:rRNA from 1 species
AGCAGCCGCGGUAAUUCCAGCUCCAAUAGCGUAUAUUAAAGUUGCUGCAGUUAAAAAGCUCGUAGUUGAAUUUCGGGACCAUCAUGUCGGUCGUGCCUCGGUACGUACUGGCAUUGUUGGUUUCUACCUUCUGACGAACCAUGAUGUCAUUUAUUUGGUGUCGUGGGGAAUCAGGACUGUUACUUUGAAAAAAUUAGAGUGUUUAAAGCAGGCUCACGCUUGAAUACAUUAGCAUGGAAUAAUGAAAUAGGACGUUUGAUUCUAUUUUGUUGGUUUCUAGGAUCGACGUAAUGAUUAAUAGGGAUAGUUGGGGGCAUUAGUAUUCAAUUGUCAGAGGUGAAAUUCUUGGAUUUAUUGAAGACUAACUACUGCGAAAGCAUUUGCCAAGGAUGUUUUCAUUAAUCAAGAACGAAAGUUAGGGGAUCGAAGACGAUCAGAUACCGUCGUAGU